GCUGAUGUGGCUCAGGUGGUAGAGCACAUCCUUGGUAAGGAUGAGGUCACCAGUUCAAGUCUGGUCAUCAGCUCCA
rnacentral:tRNA from 3 species